AACGAACGCUGGCGGCAGGCCUAACACAUGCAAGUCGAACGCCGUAGCAAUACGGAGUGGCAGACGGGUGAGUAACGCGUGGGAACCUACCUUACGGUCGGGAAUAGCUCAGGGAAACUUGGGGUAAUACCGGAUACGCCCUUACGGGGAAAGAUUUAUCGCCGUUAGAUGGGCCCGCGUAGGGUUAGCUAGUUGGUGAGGUAAUGGCUCACCAAGGCGACGAUCCUUAGCUGGUCUGAGAGGAUGAUCAGCCACACUGGGACUGAGACACGGCCCAGACUCCUACGGGAGGCAGCAGUGGGGAAUAUUGGACAAUGGGCGCAAGCCUGAUCCAGCCAUGCCGCGUGAGUGACGAAGGCCUUAGGGUUGUAAAGCUCUUUUGGCGGGGAAGAUAAUGACGGUACCCGCAGAAUAAGCUCCGGCUAACUUCGUGCCAGGCGCCGCAGUAACAC
rnacentral:rRNA from 1 species